GAUUAAUUCUCCUUUAGAGAUUGAUUGGAACUCGUUGGGUUUUCUAUUUGAUUUAUAUGAUUUCUAUUCGGACCAUGAUUUGUGUUAUUGCUUUCAUGUAUAAGUAAUCAUCAUGUUAGAUUUAGGGAUUUCAUGAGCUUAAUGUCAAACUGAUAUUCAAUUAGGAUUGGUAGGAUUGUUUAUAGAUUUCUACACCAGGGUGGCUUGUAAUACAAGGAUCUAGAGUAGUUAGAAUAACAUGAGAGUGUGACUAAUUGCUUUAAGCUAGAACCAAAGGACAAUUGAGAGGCACGAGAGUGCAAUCAAUUAACGGAACCUGAGCUCUGCUGUAUUAGAUACCUAGGCGCAUACGAGAGCUUGUCUGAGAAUUUAGUUGAACGUUAUCGGUAGCGAUAGACAUCCUAUAGGUGUAUCGAUCUAUUCGCGUUUGGUAUAGCGUACGAGAGUAUGAAUAAAGAUUUAAACAUGUAGACUCACAGCGAGAGGUGGAGAUCUUAUAAUUGUAUUCAAAUUCUAGAAUUAAAUAUAUAAAAUCAUUAGCAUCCUUGAUUUGUGUUUUGAAUCCCUUGAAUAAUAAAUCCCUAGGUCUAGUGCUGUCUCCUUAUCACUUACAAC
rnacentral:lncRNA from 1 species